rnacentral:rRNA from 1 species
AAUUUUGGACAAUGGGGGAAACCCUGAUCCAGCCAUCCCGCGUGUAUGAUGAAUGCCUUCGGUUUAUAAAGUACUUUUGGCAGAGAAGAAAAGGUAUCUCCUAAAACGAGAUACAGCUGACUGUAUCUGCAGAAUAAGCACCUGCUAACUACGUGCCAUCAGCCGCGGGAAUACGUAGGGUGCAAGCGUUAAUCGGAAUUACUGGGCGUAAAGCGUGUGUAGGCGGUUCGGAAAGAAAGACGUGAAAUCCCAGGGCUCAACCUUGGAACUGCAUUUUUAACUGCCGAGCUAGAGUAUGUCAGAGGGGGGUAGAAUUCCACGUGUAGCAGUGAAAUGCGUAGAUAUGUGGAGGAAUACCGAUGGCGAAGGCAGCCCCCUGGGAUAAUACUGACGCUCAGACACGAAAGCGUGGGGAGCAAACA